GUGAAUCAUCGAAUUUUUGAACGCAAAUUGCACUCCCUGGUAUUCCGGGGAGUAUGCCUGUUUGAGGGUCGUUAUAAUAAAAAAUCUAGGCUUCGCUCUUUUUUUGAGGGUGAUCGCGUCGUAAUUGAUCCGUCUUUCAAAGGUUAAUUCAUUUCGAAUUGGCUUAAUAUUCAUCUUUCCGGUACGAUUUAAGUUUAUUUAUGAUCAAUUUUGUUCAAGAACGCGCGAUGUC
rnacentral:misc_RNA from 1 species